GACGUAGGGGGCCAGCGUUGUUCGGAAUUACUGGGCGUAAAGGGUUCGUAGGCGGUGUGGCAAGUCGGGAGUGAAAUCUCUGGGCUCAACCCAGAGUCUGCUUCCGAAACUGCUGUGCUUGAGUGUGGGAGAGGCGCGUGGAAUUGCAGGUGUAGCGGUGAAAUGCGUAGAUAUCAAGAGGAACACCUGCGGCGAAGGCGGGUUGCUGGGCUGACACUGACGCUGAAGCGCGAAAGCCAGGGGAGCGAACGGG
rnacentral:rRNA from 1 species